GUGGGAGGGGGCUUGCUCCCGAUAGCGGAUUAUCAGGUGCCAUAUUUCUCAACUGACAGUCCGUAUCGGGAGCAAGCCCCCUCCCAC
rnacentral:misc_RNA from 1 species